rnacentral:rRNA from 1 species
AACGAACGCUGGCGGCAUGCCUAACACAUGCAAGUCGAACGAGACCUUCGGGUCUAGUGGCGCACGGGUGCGUAACGCGUGGGAACCUGCCCUUAGGUUCGGAAUAACUCCCCGAAAGGGGUGCUAAUACCGGAUAAUGUCUUCGGACCAAAGAUUUAUCGCCUUUGGAUGGGCCCGCGUUGGAUUAGCUAGUUGGUAGGGUAAAAGCCUACCAAGGCGACGAUCCAUAGCUGGUCUGAGAGGAUGAUCAGCCACACUGGGACUGAGACACGGCCCAGACUCCUACGGGAGGCAGCAGUGGGGAAUAUUGGACAAUGGGCGAAAGCCUGAUCCAGCAAUGCCGCGUGAGUGAUGAAGGCAUUAGGGUUGUAAAGCUCUUUUACCCGGGAUGAUAAUGACAGUACCGGGAGAAUAAGCUCCGGCUAACUCCGCG